rnacentral:antisense_RNA from 1 species
CUUGAUCGAGCCGAGCCACAGGGGCUGUUCGCGGUCCUGGCCGUAGGUAGCCAGCAGGGCCUGCGCCUC